UCUUUCCCACCUCUUACCCCAGCCAUGUAAUUUGCACAUCGUUUUAUAUUUUCUAUUGGGAAAUCACAAAGCAUCUAAAAGGCAAGCAGUGGUUCUCAAGCUGCAGCCAAAGGAUCAGCUUGUUUUACUCAAGUGAAACCAGAACCCAGGCUGGAGCCUCGCAGAGAGGAGGGAUUUGGAAAAUACUCCUUGAGUGGAAUUCAGUGAUUUGUUUAAGAAACACCAGAGGCUUUCGCACAAUCCCUUUUUCCUGAAGCCAACUCUGCUGAGGAUGUGAUGUGGAUACGG
rnacentral:lncRNA from 1 species